UUGACAACCGGCAUCAUGAACGGGAUAGCAAUAUAAUUAUGCAAGUGCAAUAGAGACGUCAAUAGGUGGGUCAAUGUACGAAAAUCUAUAAUUUAUAAAAUAUAUCUUUAAAUCGUCUUUGCCUUACCAAGUUAAUUCAAUACAUAUUAAAAGAUUAUAAGAUUAUGGUUAGCAUCGACUUGCGCCAUAUUGAGCAUUUAGGCUAACUUCUGUUAGAAGUACAACUUAACUUUAAACAAAUUUUGUAAUUUUUGGCACGUGGGCGGAUAUCGGAGGAUCUUGAGGAAGCGAGUGCUUCAUAUCGAGUAUAUUAGGAAAGUGAAAUAAAUAAAAGCUUAAUUCACUAGCCUGGAGCCCCUACUAAUUGAGGACAGCGCCACCUAUGGGCUGUAUUGGAAACUAUGUACCUUAUUAGAUGCGUAUUGAUUAUCGAUUUAUUGACAAGCCAUCUAGGGUUCGAGUAGGUAACUUCACAAGUUAACAGUAAAGCAUCCUCUGUUCAGUACCCCUAGUGUAACUUUGAUCGACAUCAUAACGUGACGAACGCGUUUGCGUUAAGUCUCAUUUUGUAUAGGAUUUUGAGUUUCCAAAACGUCCCGCUUGGCGCGCUCUUUCGAAAUCCAAUACAAAAUGAGACUAAACGCAAACGCGUACGUCACUUUGGAAAUCGAAUUUAUUUACACUAGGGGUACUGAAGGCAACAUUAAAUUAACUUGAAUGUUAACCGCCACGUCCACCCUGGAACGCUUUUUAAUUCAGCGGAUACAUUUAAGUAUAAACCCUUAAUCUGAAAGGAUUACAUUUCAGAAAAAAAAGCACCAUUACUGUAAUUUUCCGCUGCAAAUAUUUCCAUCGAGUUUAUACAAAAUUCAGAUGAAAGAAAACGCUUAAACGAGCAUUGAAAUUUUAAACCGAGACGUUUAGCCUCUUGCUGUUAAGGAAACCAUCGCCUUAGGGAGCGCAAGUUGUUAAGGUGCUUUUCUAUUCUCGAGCGAGGACUGGAUUGAGUUUUUAUUCAAUCGGUGAUGAAACAAAUGACUGCUUCUGUUCACUUCGCUUAUCCUGAUCCCUCUUUCAAAUUUAUAUUUAAAAGCAUGACAUAAUCAGAUAAUAUACCAGGUUUUGCUGACAGACUGCUCAGACCUAUACUUAGUCAGGUUCAUUUUGUUAAAUCUGACCAGUUUCUGAGAGAUAGUUUUAUGCAUUCAUUUAUACAAUAGAUAUAAACAGACGUAUUAAUAGACGUAUCUAAAUACUUACCUCUAAAAUAGCCCCUUGAGGCAUCGUAUCAAGGAUUCUGGCGGUGUUUCCCCGUUGUAUCGCAAUGCUGAUACGUUGUGCGAGGAAACUGCCAGCUCUUCGGUCACCAGUUACGUCAACUAUUCCUUUCGCUAUUUGAGGGUUGUUUCCAUAGUAAAAAUUGUUCAUAUAUUUCUAUCUAUUUCACAGAACAUGGGCAGCCAUAAUAAAAUUACUCUUAUUUAUUCUUAAAACAAAAAACUAAGUAAUUUUUUUAACAAGCAGAAACGUAUGCGAACGAUGCUAUUAAGCUUAGAAUAAAUUUAAAAACGGACAAAUUACUGCCUUGGGUGAAACUUGAACUCACGGCCUCUGGAUCGAUACUCUAGCGCUCUGACAUCUGAGCCACCAAGACCUCAUUUAAAAUUUGGUAUUGAUUUUAAAUUUAUUCUAAGCUUAAUAAACUAAGUAUUUAUUUAAAAAGAACAACAAUCUCAACUUCAGACAUUGAACCUAAAUGUAUUCAGACAUUGUACCUAGUCUAAAGUCUUAUUGGUGCUAACCCGGCAGAAUUUUGAUACUUGAUAACAUCAAACUUAUCGUUAACCCGCAUUACACCAAGAUUUAUUACCUCAUCUCAGCCUUCUCCAUGCACUCUCAUUCCUCCAUAGAUUAACCAAGACCAAGUCGUCUAAAAGCGGUAGACUAAUGAUAGCUGUCCACACUCGAUCCUCGGCUCAUCGUCAUUAAUAGCCGCGGUCCGUAAUAAAUGUGCGUCUAAGUAACGGCGCGAACAACGCUAUAACGACGCUGUUAUGACAUCGUGAAAAAUUACAACAACUUUAUUGGCUUUCUUUGGUCCUACUUUGAAUAUGAAUGUCAUGAAAGGAAAUCAUGAUCUUAUACAUAAAUCUUCUUUUUUUAAUGUAGCAUGUUCCAUGAGUGUAUUCUCAUUUGUCCUUACCGAGCACAGAUGGGACUAUUCCCAUGUGCAAUCAUAUCAAUAAUUCCCAUCUAUUCCCGCCUAAUGAAUGGUGACGGUCACGUGGGCAGAGUACAAAUGGGAAUACACUAUUUAUUUAUUUAAUAGUACAAAAGGCGGACUUAAUGCCACGAGUCAUUCUCUACUAGUCAACCUUAAGGCUAAGCAGAGAGAUUGUGAGCGGUGCUACAAUUACAACACCAAAGGCAUAUCAAACAAAAAUACAUAUAAUAACAUAUAUAUACAAAUAUAAUAUACACAUUCACUAUAUAUUAAAUAAUAAAGACGAUACAUAUGAAGCUAAUAAAUAUGCAUUGAUUCCAUACUAUUCCAUGUGAUAAAUCAAAUAAAUAUUACAGGGACAUUCUUACCCAAAACGUCCCACUCAGACAACGAUAUAUAUAAUUAUAUUUGUUUUAAUACUACGUCGGUGGCAAAAAAGCAUACGGCCCGCCUGAUGGUUAACGUUUACUGUAGCCUAUGGACGCUUGCAACUCUAGAGGAGUCACAUGCGCGUUGCCGACCCUAAGACCCCCGCACCCUCGUUGAGCUUUGGCAACCUUACUCACCGGCAGGAACACAACACUAUGAGUAGGGUCUAGUGUUAUUUGACUGCGGUUUUCGGUAAGGUGGAAGUGCUUCCCCAGUUGGGGAAAAAUAAACAAAUUUUUUAAAUUAAAUUUUUGUCUGCUCUUGCUUUGCCACUUCUAACCCUCUGGGUGUAGCCCUCAGGAGAUCUUCCUCAGUGCACAUCGUUGAGCACAAGGAACAUUCGAUCAUGUGUUUUGUUAUUUGGAGGACUCCACACUCGCAGAAAGUAUCACCUUGUCGGCCAAUACCCCAUCUCAGAGGGUUAUCUUUUGACCGACCAACUCCCGUUCUAAGUCUGUUAAGGGCUUUC